rnacentral:ncRNA from 1 species
CACAGGUUUGGUCCCGGCCUUUUCGUUAGCUGUUAAUAAAAUUACACAUGCAAGCAUCCGCACCCCAGUGAGAAUGCCCUCUAAAUCUAAUUAUACGAUAAAAAGGAGCAGGUAUCAAGCGCACUAACAAAGUAGCUCAUAACACCUUGCUAAACCACGCCCCCACGGGAAACAGCAGUGAUUGGAAUUAAGCUAUAAACGAAAGUUUGACUAAGUUAUAUUAACAUCAGGGUUGGUAAAUUUCGUGCCAGCCACCGCGGUCAUACGAUUAACCCAAACUAACGAACCUUCGGCGUAAAGAGUGUUUAAGGCAGACUAACUAAUAAAAUUAAACCAUGGCUAAGCUGUAAAAAGCCCUAGCCAAUGUAAAAUAUACUACGAAAGUAAUUUUAAACAUCCUGACUACACGAUAGCUAAGACCCAAACUGGGAUUAGAUACCCCACUAUGCUUAGCCAUAAACUUAAAUAUUAAAACAAACAAUAAUGUUCGCCAGAGAACUACUAGCCAAAGCUUAAAACUCAAAGGACUUGGCGGUGCUUUAUAUCCAUCUAGAGGAGCCUGUUCUAUAAUCGAUAAACCCCGAUAAACCUCACCAGUCCUAGCCAAUUUCAGCCUAUAUACCGCCAUCUUCAGCAAACCUUAAAAAAGAAUAAAAGUAAGCGUAAACAUACCACAUAAAAAGUUAGGUCAAGGUGUAGCCAAUGGACUGGGAAGAAAUGGGCUACAUUUCCUAUUCUAAGGCCAUUAAAGUCUCUCAUACGAAAGUCACUGUGAAAACAUAGACCAAAGGUGGAUUUAGCAGUAAAUUAAGAAUAGAGUGCUUAAUUGAAUUAGGCCAUGAAGCACGCACACACCGCCCGUCACCCUCCUCAAGCAGUACAAUACUACCCCAACCCUAUAAAAAGUACUAACAAUGCAAGAGGAGACAAGUCGUAACAAGGUAAGCGUACUGGAAAGUGCGCUUGGAUAACU